rnacentral:antisense_RNA from 1 species
GGCAGGGUCUCAUUCUGUCACCCAGACUGGGAUGUGGUGGUGUUAUCAUAGCUUACUGUAAUCUUCAACUGCUGGGCUCAAGCAAUCCUCCAGGCUCAGCCUCUGAGUAGCUAAGAUUAAAGGCAUGUGACACCAUGCCCAGCUUAUUUUAUUUUAUUUUUUUCAGAGACAAAAUCUUGCAUUAAAGCCCAAUCUGGUCUCAAACUCCUGUCCUCAAGUGAUCCUCCUGUCUAGGCCUAUUAAUCCCAAAGGGCUGGGAUUCCAAACAUCAGCAGCUGUGCUCAACCUUGAGGUUCUGGCUGUAAUCUGGCUGUUAUUUAUCGAAACAACAGAAGUUCUUGGUAUUAACGGUCAUUCUUCUUCAGAGAGUCACCCCACAAGACUCAGAUGAAUAUAGUUAAGAAGCCAAAAUGAGGUCAUUAUGGCAGAACAGAAUUGAUAGUGCACAUUAAAAGACAUUACACACUUUGGGUGAUUCAACUAAAUCAUAGUCUGAAAUGCAGUUACAAAGUGGUAAUGUUCAAACGAUCAUCUAUUAGUCAAAGUUACAAGAAAAGUCCUGGUUAUGUUGGUAAAAAUUGAUAUCUGUGAUUAUCCAUCUUCAAAUGAUUUGUUAAAUGUUUAUUAAGAUAAAAAAGUUACAUUUCAAAAGUAUUUAUAUUAUUUGUCAAUUCCUCCAUAACAAAUUAUCCCAAAAUAAAGUAUAAUAAUAAAAUUUUAAAAAAAGAUGAGAAACAUAUUCUUCACCACAAAAAAAAACAAAAAACCUUUAUUAUCUCGAAGUUUCUGUGGUGCAGGAAUCUGGGCAUGGCUUAACUGGGUCUUCUAUUCAGAGACUCUCACAAGUUAUAAUCAAUCUCACUCAAUGCUUGAUGGUGUAUUCAGUACUUUGAUAGCUGUUGUCCAGAAUUCCAUAUAAUGUGAGCCUCUUCAGUAUGGGAAGGUUUCUUCAUCAAAAUGUGCGAAGCCAAAAAAAAAGCCAUUGAAAAGAGUCCAAGACAGAAGUCACAUCUUUUGUCAACUAAUCACAGAAUCAACCUCUCAUCAUGUUUGCUGUAUUCUAUGCAACAGCAGCAAGUCUAUGGAUCCAGCUGACACCCAUGGGGAGGGUAUUAGACAAGGGUUGGAAUCCCAGGAGAUGGAGACCAUUAGAAACUACGUUAAUCUGCUGAUUACAGUAGUUUGCCAAAGAAUCCUGAGAUAAUAAUUCUGGGCUCAAAGUUCUUAUGAGGCACUGAGGCAGGACAAUAAAGGAACAGAAAAUAAUACUAUAUUAAUUGUAAUGAUUUACUAAUACUAAUAUACUGGUAUAAUGUACUAAAAUAGUAUACUACAUUUUUGGUAAUUUGUCCAGAAGUAAUAGAAACAAAUCC